GGAAACUUGGCCUAGUGGACAAGGCUCAGGCCUUAGAAGCCCAUGGUUGUUGGUUAAAAUCUGAAUGCUGCCA
rnacentral:tRNA from 1 species